UUUGCUUCUCAGCCUUUUGGCUAAGAUCAAGUGUAAAAUUCUUUCGGCUCAUGUGUUUCUGGUUUUCAUUUCAUUUAUUUUUGCAGUGCCAGGGUUUGAACCCAGGGCACUGCAAAUGCUACACAAACACCCUGAGCUAUACCCCCA
rnacentral:snRNA from 1 species